AGGAAUAUUGGUCAAUGGACGAGAGUCUGAACCAGCCAAGUAGCGUGAAGGAUGACUGCCCUAUGGGUUGUAAACUUCUUUUAUACGGGAAUAAAGUGAGGCACGUGUGCCUUUUUGUAUGUACCGUAUGAAUAAGGAUCGGCUAACUCCGUGCCAGCAGCCGCGGUAAUACGGAGGAUCCGAGCGUUAUCCGGAUUUAUUGGGUUUAAAGGGAGCGUAGGCGGACGCUUAAGUCAGUUGUGAAAGUUUGCGGCUCAACCGUAAAAUUGCAGUUGAUACUGGGUGUCUUGAGUACAGUAGAGGCAGGCGGAAUUCGUGGUGUAGCGGUGAAAUGCUUAGAUAUCACGAAGAACUCCGAUUGCGAAGGCAGCUUGCUGGACUGUAACUGACGCUGAUGCUCGAAAGUGUGGGUAUCAAACAGGAUUAGAUACCCUGGUAGUCCACACAGUAAACGAUGAAUACUCGCUGUUUGCGAUAUACAGUAAGCGGCCAAGCGAAAGCAUUAAGUAUUCCACCUGGGGAGUACGCCGGCAACGGUGAAACUCAAAGGAAUUGACGGGGGCCCGCACAAGCGGAGGAACAUGUGGUUUAAUUCGAUGAUACGCGAGGAACCUUACCCGGGCUUAAAUUGCAGAUGAAUUACGGUGAAAGCCGUAAGCCGCAAGGCAUCUGUGAAGGUGCUGCAUGGUUGUCGUCAGCUCGUGCCGUGAGGUGUCGGCUUAAGUGCCAUAACGAGCGCAACCCUCGUGUCCAGUUACUAGCAGGUUAUGCUGAGGACUCUGGACAGACUGCCAUCGUAAGAUGUGAGGAAGGUGGGGAUGACGUCAAAUCAGCACGGCCCUUACGUCCGGGGCUACACACGUGUUACAAUGGGGGGUACAGCAGGCAGCUACCGGGCGACCGGAUGCCAAUCCCGAAAGCCUCUCUCAGUUCGGACUGGAGUCUGCAACCCGACUCCACGAAGCUGGAUUCGCUAGUAAUCGCGCAUCAGCCACGGCGCGGUGAAUACGUUCCCG
rnacentral:rRNA from 1 species